GCGAAAAAGAACCCCCGGGAGGGGGAGUGAAAUAGAACCUGAAACCGUGUGCAUACAAACAGUGGGAGCGGACUUGUUCCGUGACUGCGUACCUUUUGUAUAAUGGGUCAGCGACUUACGUUCAGUAGCGAGCUUAACCGAGUAGGGGAGGCGUAGGGAAACCGAGUCCGAAUAGGGCGCAUAGUUGCUGGGCGUAGACCCGAAACCAAGUGAUCUAUCCAUGGCCAGGUUGAAGGUGCCGUAACAGGUACUGGAGGACCGAACCCACUAGUGUUGCAAAACUAGGGGAUGAGCUGUGGAUAGGGGUGAAAGGCUAAACAAACUUGGAAAUAGCUGGUUCUCUCCGAAAACUAUUUAGGUAGUGCCUCACGUAUCACUCUCGGGGGUAGAGCACUGUCAUGGCUAGGGGGUCAUCGCGACUUACCAAACCAUAGCAAACUCCGAAUACCGAGAAGUGCGAGCGUGGGAGACAGACAUCGGGUGCUAACGUCCGGUGUCAAGAGG
rnacentral:rRNA from 1 species